ensembl:lncRNA
UGAGCAUAGGGACAGGGUAAGUUGAGCAUAGGGACAGGGUGAGUUGAGCAUAGGGACAGGGUAAGUUGAGCAUAGAGACAGGGUAAAGACAGGGUAGGGACAGGGUAAAGAGAGCAUAGGGACAGGGUAAAGAGAGCAUAGGGACAGGGUAAGUAGAGCAUAGGGACAGGGUAAGUAGAGCAUAGGGACAGGGUAAGGAGAGCAUAGGGACAGGGUAAGGAGAGCAUAGGGACAGGGUAAAGAGAGCAUAGGGACAGGGUAGGUUGAGCCAACUUGGGGUAAGUGGGUGAUUGUGUCCUGUGACAGUGGGGGCUGGUGCAUGUUCUCAGAGCGUAAGACAUUAAUGUUCUAGACACAUUUCAUGGGAAUGUUGCAAGAACAUUCAUGUGUCCAGGUUCCUAAGGGUUAGGAGAAUGUUCCGCCCGUCCAAACAUACUGUAUACAGAAGAUGGUUGCCAUGUUCUCAGAACAUAAGAUAGUAAUGUUCUAGUAACGUUUCAUGGGAACAUUGCAAAAACAGUGUGUAAAAAAAAAAAUCCAUUACACAUCCUGUUGCUGAGCCAAUCAAGGCCCUGAUCAGUGAACCACUGAGAGCUCUUUGUCUGUUGGCAGAGUUGGGUAUACUCUCACACACAGUGAAUAAUUGAACUUGCAAAGUGUAAUCAUGUGUGUCAAAUAUGUAAGUUAUAAGCACUAACUCUUAUUCAACAUGUCCUCACCUGGGAUUUGAACUCACAACCUCUUGGUCUACAGUACUCCAAUCUUCCUGCUCUCAAUAGUUAGAUGAAUGGAUAUCAGGCAGGGACAUGGUGGCCAUGUCCGUGUCAGAUAUCCAUUAAUCUGAAGAUUGUGUCAUCAUUGAUUUGAUUGACUUAUUUCACAGCAAUUUAAGGACUUUGUGUAUAGGUGUCUAAUGUUGGUGGGGCAUAUAAACCUGUUUUACUGAUACUCCUGAAUCACUAUUAUCAAUAAAAUACUUUUAACAGAGCUGGAAUUUAGUUUGAAAGUGCAUUCACCCUACUACUUACACCCAUCAAGUUGUUUCAGAUCUACACAAGUGUGUAGGGAAGAGAGGUUAGGGUUUCUUCUGGACAGGACCUAACUGUACUAGACUAUAGACUAGACUAUAGACUAACUAUACAUGCCCUAGAGAUAACCCUUAUUGGGAAAGUGGUUAGGGUGUUUGUCAUUAAUGAUGCUGGCCUGGGCUUGAGACCUGCUAAGGGAGUCAUCCUACGCUCACGUUCUCAGCACUAUAUGUUAAUGACAGUUACAACACACUUAUCUGUUCUAAUUCAAAUGAGUUUGAAAGAUGGGAAUCUGUAGGAUUACCUUUGAGCACUAAAUGAUGACCAUAUUUCCACUACCUCUCAUAUGUUAUCAGUAUUUAUUCAUUCUAUACAGCUACCUAGAUUAAAUAAAGGUUCAAUGAAAUCAAUUGUUUUCUUGAAAUCCACACCGUUCAAAAAUUGGAUUUAGCAGCUGCAGAUUGCAGAUUAACAUAUUGUGAUGUCUGCUUUGUCCCAAGUGAUUCUGUUGCAAUCUGUCUGUUUUUCCACAUUAAAACUUGGAGAUGGAA